CUUUCUUGAACAAAAUGGCGGCCAGGAAGCGAUUUUUAUGAAUGAUAACCACAAUGUUUGCUGUUUUAUAAGCAAAAUAUGAUAUGUCAAGGGAUGUCUUAUCAUCCCGUGGAUACAUAAGCUGAGGACCACUGCCACCAGCUGUUGGUCACACCAUCACCACCACCCACAACAGAGAACUGGGCACAGAGGACACAGUCACUAAUGUAGUGUCUGGAGGCUAGGCCAGGAGAGACACCAUCACCACCACCCACAACAGAGAACUGGGCACAGAGGACACAGUCGCUAAUGUAGUGUCUGGAGGCUAAGCCAGGAGAGACACCAUCACCACCACCCACAACAGAGAACUGGGCACAGAGGACACAGUCGCUAAUGUAGUGUCUGGAGGCUAAGCCAGGAGAGACACACAAACACACCCAGACACAUAGAUGUUCCGGUCUGCCUGGUUUCCGCGACCACGCCACGCCAAGCCAGGGCAAUGGUUGGGCUCGCAUGUUAGAGUCUUAGGGUUAGGGAGCCAGGUCAAGGGUGGGGCUUCCCUGUUAGGGUCUUAGGGUUAGGGGACCAGGGCAAGGGUUGGGCUCCCCUGUUAGGGUCUUAGGAUUAGGGCAAGGCUGGGGCUCCCCUAUUUGGGUCUUAGGGUUAGGGAA